CCUCCCAUCAAGAAAUAGGAGGACACACCAGAAGUGCCCAGGGAGGCUCUGAUGAACUCCUUGGAACUGGCAGUGAAGUUGAACAGAUCUGAGUCUAUUCUGAAGAAGCGGACUCCCCAGAACCAACCUCACUGAUGAAGCAGAAGAAGACCCCCCCCCCCUUUCUCCAUGGAAUCCUUAUGCACUAGAAAAAAGAAACAAGAAUAACAGAGACAGCAGGUUCCAUUGAAGUUGGCAGUGCUCAGUGCUUGAUUCACUCAUGCUCAUGGGAAAAAGAAAAAAAAAUUGUUAAGCUCUGGAAAUGGGACCGGUGAUGCCAAAGA